CUACGGGUGGCUGCAGUGAGGAAUAUUGCACAAUGGAGGAAACUCUGAUGCAGCAACGCCGCGUGGAGGAUGACGCAUUUCGGUGUGUAAACUCCUUUUAUAUGUCAAGAAAAUGACGGUAGCAUAUGAAUAAGCUCCGGCUAACUCCGUGCCAGCAGCCGCGGUAAUACGGAGGGAGCAAGCGUUACUCGGAAUCACUGGGCGUAAAGGACGCGUAGGCGGGAUAGAAAGUCAGGUGUGAAAUCCUAUGGCUCAACCAUAGAACUGCACUUGAAACUUCUAACCUAGAGUAUGGGAGGGGAAGAUGGAAUUAGUGGUGUAGGGGUAAAAUCCGUAGAUAUCACUAGGAAUACCAAAAGCGAAGGCGAUCUUCUGGAACAAUACUGACGCUAAGGCAUGAAAGCGUGGGGAGCAAACAGGAUUAGAUACCCGCGUAGUC
rnacentral:rRNA from 1 species